rnacentral:rRNA from 1 species
UACGAAGGGGGCGAGCGUUGUUCGGAAUUACUGGGCGUAAAGGGCGCGUAGGCGGCGACCCAAGUCAGAUGUGAAAGUCCUGGGCUUAACCUGGGGACUGCAUUUGAUACUGGGUUGCUUGAAUUCGGGAGAGGAUAGCGGAAUUCCCAGUGUAGAGGUGAAAUUCGUAGAUAUUGGGAAGAACACCGGUGGCGAAGGCGGUCUGCUGGGCAGUUGCUGACACUGAGGCGCGACAGCGUGGGGAGCAAACAGG